GUGAGGAAUAUUGGUCAAUGGACGAGAGUCUGAACCAGCCAAGUAGCGUGAAGGAUGACUGCCCUAUGGGUUGUAAACUUCUUUUAUAAGGGAAUAAAGUGAGGGACGUGUCCCUUUUUGUAUGUACCUUAUGAAUAAGGAUCGGCUAACUCCGUGCCAGCAGCCGCGGUAAUACGGAGGAUCCAAGCGUUAUCCGGAUUUAUUGGGUUUAAAGGGAGCGUAGGUUGACAUAUAAGUCAGCUGUGAAAGUUUACGGCUCAACCGUGAAAUUGCAGUUGAUACUGUAUGUCUUGAGUGUACAAGAGGUGGGCGGAAUUCGUGGUGUAGCGGUGAAAUGCUUAGAUAUCACGAAGAACUCCAAUUGCGAAGGCAGCUCACUGGGGUACAACUGACACUGAGGCUCGAAAGUGUGGGUAUCAAACAGGAUUAGAUACCCGAGUAGUCC
rnacentral:rRNA from 1 species